UACGGAGGGUGCAAGCGUUAUCCGGAUUUACUGGGUUUAAAGGGUGCGUAGGUGGGCGAGAAAGUCAGUGGUGAAAUCUCCGGGCUUAACCCGGAAACUGCCAUUGAUACUAUUUGUCUUGAAUACUUUGGAGGUAAGCGGAAUAUGUCAUGUAGCGGUGAAAUGCUUAGAUAUGACAUAGAACACCAAUUGCGAAGGCAGCUUACUACACAGUGAUUGACACUGAGGCACGAAAGCGUGGGGAGCGAACAGG
rnacentral:rRNA from 1 species